GACGAACGCUGGCGGCGUGCUUAACACAUGCAAGUCGAACGGAAAGGCCCUGCUUUUGCGGGGUGCUCGAGUGGCGAACGGGUGAGUAACACGUGAGUAACCUGCCCUUGACUUUGGGAUAACUUCAGGAAACUGGGGCUAAUACCGGAUAGGAGCUCCUGCUGCAUGGUGGGGGUUGGAAAGUUUCGGCGGUUGGGGAUGGACUCGCGGCUUAUCAGCUUGUUGGUGGGGUAGUUGCUUACCAAGGUUUUGACGGGUAGCCGGCCUGAGAGGGUGACCGGCCACAUUGGGACUGAGAUACGGCCCAGACUCCUACGGGAGGCAGCGGUGGGGAAUAUUGCACAGUGGGCGGAAGCCUGAUGCAGCAACGCCGCGUGCGGGAUGACGGCCUUCGGGUUGUAAACCGCUUUCGCCUGUGACGAAGCGUGAGUGACGGUAAUGGGUAAAGAAGCACCGGCUAACUACGUG
rnacentral:rRNA from 1 species